rnacentral:rRNA from 1 species
GAUGAACGCUGGCGGCGUGCCUAAUACAUGCAAGUCGAGCGAACGGACGAGAAGCUUGCUUCUCUGACGUUAGCGGCGGACGGGUGAGUAACACGUGGAUAACCUACCUAUCAGACUGGGAUAACUUCGGGAAACCGGAGCUAAUACCGGAUGAUAUUUUGAACCGCAUGGUUCAAUAGUGAAAGACGGUCUUGCUGUCACUUAUAGAUGGAUCCGCGCUGCAUUAGCUAGUUGGUAAGGUAACGGCUUACCAAGGCAACGAUGCAUAGCCGACCUGAGAGGGGGAUCGGCCACACUGGAACUGAGACACGGUCCAGACUACUACGGGAGGCAGCAGUAGGGAAUCUGCCGCAAUGGGCGAAAGCCUGACGGAGCAACGCCGCGUGAGUGAUGAAGGUCUUCGGAUCGUAAAACUCUGUUAUUAGGGAAGAACAGAUGUGUAAGUAACUGUGCACAUCUUGACGGUACCUAAUCAGAAAGCCACGGCUAACUACGUG